rnacentral:rRNA from 1 species
UACGUAGGGGGCAAGCGUUGUCCGGAAUCACUGGGCGUAAAGGGCGCGUAGGCGGCCUGAUAAGUCGGGGGGUGAAAUUCUGCGGCUUAACCGCAGGACGGCCUUCGAGACUGUCGGGCUUGAGCACGGUAGAGGCUGGUGGAAUUCCCGGUGUAGCGGUGGAAUGCGUAGAGAUCGGGAAGAACAUCGGUGGCGAAGGCGGCCAGCUGGGCCGUUGCUGACGCUGAGGCGCGACAGCGUGGGGAGCAAACAGGAUUGAGAAACCCG